CUGGAGGUAUCAGAAGUGCGAAUGCUGACAUAAGUAACGAUAAAGCGGGUGAAAAGCCCGCUCGCCGGAAGACCAAGGGUUCCUGUCCAACGUUAAUCGGGGCAGGGUGAGUCGACCCCUAAGGCGAGGCCGAAAGGCGUAGUCGAUGGGAAACAGGUUAAUAUUCCUGUACUUGGUGUUACUGCGAAGGGGGGACGGAGAAGGCUAUGUUGGCCGGGCGACGGUUGUCCCGGUUUAAGCGUGUAGGCUGGUUUUCCAGGCAAAUCCGGAAAAUCAAGGCUGAGGCGUGAUGACGAGGCACUACGGUGCUGAAGCAACAAAUGCCCUGCUUCCAGGAAAAGCCUCUAAGCAUCAGGUAACAUCAAAUCGUACCCCAAACCGACACAGGUGGUCAGGUAGAGAAUACCAAGGCGCUUGAGAGAACUCGGGUGAAGGAACUAGGCAAAAUGGUGCCGUAACUUCGGGAGAAGGCACGCUGAUAUGUAGGUGAAGUCCCUCGCGGAUGGAGCUGAAAUCAGUCGAAGAUACCAGCUGGCUGCAACUGUUUAUUAAAAACACAGCACUGUGCAAACACGAAAGUGGACGUAUACGGUGUGACGCCUGCCCGGUGCCGGAAGGUUAAUUGAUGGGGUUAGCGCAAGCGAAGCUCUUGAUCGAAGCCCCGGUAAACGGCGGCCGUAACUAUAACGGUCCUAAGGUAGCGAAAUUCCUUGUCGGGUAAGUUCCGACCUGCACGAAUGGCGUAAUGAUGGCCAGGCUGUCUCCACCCGAGACUCAGUGAAAUUGAACUCGCUGUGAAGAUGCAGUGUACCCGCGGCAAGACGGAAAGACCCCGUGAACCUUUACUAUAGCUUGACACUGAACAUUGAGCCUUGAUGUGUAGGAUAGGUGGGAGGCUUUGAAGUGUGGACGCCAGUCUGCAUGGAGCCGACCUUGAAAUACCACCCUUUAAUGUUUGAUGUUCUAACGUUGACCCGUGAUCCGGGUUGCGGACAGUGUCUGGUGGGUAGUUUGACUGGGGCGGUCUCCUCCUAAAGAGUAACGGAGGAGCACGAAGGUUGGCUAAUCCUGGUCGGACAUCAGGAGGUUAGUGCAAUGGCAUAAGCCAGCUUGACUGCGAGCGUGACGGCGCGAGCAGGUGCGAAAGCAGGUCAUAGUGAUCCGGUGGUUCUGAAUGGAAGGGCCAUCGCUCAACGGAUAAAAGGUACUCCGGGGAUAACAGGCUGAUACCGCCCAAGAGUUCAUAUCGACGGCGGUGUUUGGCACCUCGAUGUCGGCUCAUCACAUCCUGGGGCUGAAGUAGGUCCCAAGGGUAUGGCUGUUCGCCAUUUAAAGUGGUACGCGAGCUGGGUUUAGAACGUCGUGAGACAGUUCGGUCCCUAUCUGCCGUGGGCGCUGGAGAACUGAGGGGGGCUGCUCCUAGUACGAGAGGACCGGAGUGGACGCAUCACUGGUGUUCGGGUUGUCAUGCCAAUGGCACUGCCCGGUAGCUAAAUGCGGAAGAGAUAAGUGCUGAAAGCAUCUAAGCACGAAACUUGCCCCGAGAUGAGUUCUCCCUGACUCCUUGAGAGUCCUGAAGGAACGUUGAAGACGACGACGUUGAUAGGCCGGGUGUGUAAGCGCAGCGAUGCGUUGAGCUAACCGGUACUAAUGAACCGUGAGGCUUAACCUU
rnacentral:rRNA from 1 species